ACCGAUACACUCAUAUGCAUAUAUAGAGUAGGACUACUAUACUUUUAUGAGUAUAAGAUCCUUCAUAACUCUUAUUUUAAAUUGAAGGAUUCGAUCAUUCAUUUUUAGGAUGUCGUUCGAUUUUGAUCGUUAAUUUUCGGCUAUUAGAUAAAGGGAUGUGCAGUUAGGAUAAUAUAUAGUGGUUCUCGAUUAGGAUGAUAGUGGUCCUCUAUAGUUGAGUGUAUGAUUGGUUGAAGUAUGGUCUAACAGAUGAAAAUAGAAAAAUGAGUAGAUCUAAUAGCAAAAAACUCGAUAGUACUAAACGCUUGGUACUAUUGAUAGUAUAGUAGCCAGACUCUCUAUAUAUAUAUAUAUAUGUAUAU
rnacentral:lncRNA from 1 species